rnacentral:rRNA from 1 species
GUAGGGGGCAAGCGUUGUCCGGAUUUAUUGGGCGUAAAGAGCGUGUAGGCGGCUAGGUAGGUGGGUUGUGAAAACUGGAGGCUCAACCUUCAGACGUCGACCCAAACCCCCUGGCUAGAGUCCGGAAGAGGAGAGUGGAAUUCCUGGUGUAGCGGUGAAAUGCGCAGAUAUCAGGAAGAACACCCGUGGCGAAGGCGGCUCUCUGGGACGGUACUGACGCUGAGACGCGAAAGCGUGGGGAGCGAACAGGAUUAGAUACCCUGGCAGUCCACGCCGUAAACGAUGGGUGCUAGGUGUGGGGGGUGUCGACUCCCUCCGUGCCGAAGCUAACGCAUUAAGCACCCCGCCUGGGGAGUACGGCCGCAAGGCUA